AUUUUAGCCCGAUUAGGGCCCGAUCCACCUGACCCGCUCGAGUUGAGUUGAGUUUAGCCCAGCUAAAGUUGGGUGUUCCUUCCUUUCUUUGCCCCCGGCAGCUCUGGCUAGGAGUUGGAGAACUAGGGCCACAGGAGCCUCGGAGAAACUCCUCUAUAAAUAAACCUCCCCCGUCCUCCGUGACCCUCCGCCACGGAGCGGUGCCGCUCGUUGUCCCUCUUUUCCUCCUGCAAGUUAGUUGUUUCCCAGCACCGUGCCCACCAGAUUGCAGCCAAAAUCCUCACCGGAAACAAGGUUUAGCUGGUUCAUAUAAUUAAAUUUCGAAGGUUCAAAGAUGAGGUUCCAGUUACAGUCAGAUACUCCGUAUCAUUUCAACAAUCAACAUGGAACUUGUCUCCAAUCAGAGAAUAAAAUAAGCAUACAAAAAAAGGAAUGUGAUAUAGGGCAUUGUUUUUUGACUGAAAAUUCCAGAAAUAUUGCAUGGUUAGCAGUUCAUAUUGUUAAUCUGAAGAUUGCCCAGGUGGACACCUCCCAGGCAUACUGAUGUAUCAACAAAGAUUCAGGCGGAUAAAAACGAGUUAUUAUGAGAGAGGUUCUCUAAAUCUACCUAUUAUUUUUAGGCGCAUCACUUAUUCUCAAGAUAAUGUAUGUCAUGCUUCAUCCUUUUCUACUUUUGGUUGUAACUUAUAUGAAUUUUUUACUUCAGCAAAUUAUUCAUCCAAAAGCAAAAGAACUGAAACCCUGUGCACAUAGUCCAAAAUAAGAUGAUGUUUUGCAGAACUAAACUUCCAUGUAUCAACUCCAGUGCUGCUAAUAGUGAAUUAGUAACAAAAUCCAUCUUCAGCAUGCAUACUUUGUGCACAAAAUACCCUAAAAACUCAACAACAAACUCCUAUAUGUCAAAUUAGUUCUGCAUAAUAUCAAUACAAUGACUCUAGGACGACAAACACCAAGCUGACCAGGAUAAUAGGGUACCUCAAUUGCAUAUCAUGUUAUUCAUAAAUGGGAUGAUGACCUUGUUAAUAGGCAACCCAUAAAACUCCAUCUAACCUCGUUAGUUUGAUAUUUGUAAGAGAUAAAGGGCAUUCAGAUAUCAUGUUUCACCGAUAGGCUAAGGCCAAUAGUUAAAAUAUUAGAUGAUGCAAACAGUUGCUGACGACCUCACAUUAGAUCCUGCAUUUCCUACUCUUCUUAUGGUUUCAUUUAACUCCAUGACUCUCUUGCAUCCCAUGGUCAUUUGGCCAAACUUUUUCUUUAUCCUUAUUCAGUUAAUAUCCUUGUGAUCAAUAAGAAAUAUACUUCA